rnacentral:rRNA from 1 species
GACGAACGCUGGCGGCGUGCCUAACACAUGCAAGUCGAACGAAGUGGCGAACGGGUGAGUAACGCGUAAUCAACCUGCCCUUCAGAGGGGGACAACAGUUGGAAAUGACUCCUAAUACCGCAUACUGAAGGAGGGGAUUGCGUCUGAUUAGCUAGUGGGAGGGGUAACGGCCCACCAAGGCGAUGAUCAGUAGCCGGUCUGGACGGGUGAACGGCCACAAUGGGACUGAGACACGGCCCAGACUCCUCCGGGGAGCAGCAGUGGGGGAUCUUCCGCAAUGGACGAAAGUCUGGCGGAGCAACGCCGCGUGAGUGAUGACGGCCUUCGGGUUGUAAAGCUCUGUUAAUCGGGACGCGGUACCGGAAUAGAAAGCCACGGCUAACUACGUGCCAGCAGCCGCGGUAAUUC